rnacentral:rRNA from 1 species
GUCGAGGGAGAUUGUUGGAUUCGUCUGACAUGAAACCGGCGCACGGGUGCGUAACACGUAUGCAACCUACCUUUAACUGGGGUAUAGCUCAGAGAAAUCUGAAUUAAUCCCCCAUAAGACUACGACAUGGCAUCAUGAUGUAGUUAAAGCUCCGGCGGUUAAGGGUGGGCAUGCGGUACAUUAGCUAGUUGGUGAGGUAAUGGCUCACCAAGGCUACGAUGUAUAGGGGGUCUGAGAGGAUGAUCCCCCACACUGGUACUGAGACACGGACCAGACUCCUACGGGAGGCAGCAGUAGGGAAUAUUGGUCAAUGGACGCAAGUCUGAACCAGCCAUGCCGCGUGAAGGAUGAAGGCCCUAUGGGUCGUAAACUUCUUUUAUUAGGGAAGAAAAAAUGGGAUGCGUCCUAUACUGACGGUACUUAAUGAAUAAGGAUCGACUAACUUCGUGCCAGCAGCCGCGGUAAGACGAGGGAUCCAAGCGUUGUCCGGAUUUACUGGGUUUAAAGGGUGCGUAGGCGGAAAAUUAAGUCAGUGGUGAAAGCCCGCAGCUCAACUGUGGAACUGCCAUUGAAACUGGUUUUCUUGAAUAUAGCUGAGGCAGAUGGAAUAUAACAUGUAGCGGUGAAAUGCUUAGAUAUGUUAUAGAACACCGAUUGCGAAGGCAGUCUGCUAAACUAUUAUUGACGCUGAGGCACGAAAGCGUGGGGAGCGAACAGGAUUAGAUACCCUGGUAGUCCACGCCCUAAACG